AGCUCGAUUGGCUUUAAUUAAACCAAAUAAUAUCUGGUAUCUUUUAUUAUCCUAACCAGAUUUAUUUGUGUACUUAAAUUGAAAUGUUUGCUAAUUAAACAUGUCAAUUCUUGUCAAUCAAUUUAGCUGUUAAAUCCUUCAUUGUUCAUCUUUUGCCAUGAGAAUAAUCAAUUCUUAAUGGCAAUGUAAUGAAAAUUAAUCAGCAAACAUAUUGCUCUAUAAUAGAUGUUGCUGAUCUGGAUUUAUGAUUCAUAUAUUUUUAUGAAAGAUCAAUUUAAUCAUAUGUAUGAAAUCGUAUGAAAGAUUGUGGGUGAAUAGAAGAUUUAGGUGAAUCCGGUUGGUAAUAUUUCUUAUAUUCUGUUGAUUAAAGGUUUCAUUGUUCAAGAUGGAAAUCUAUUCUAGACAUUUGGACAUUCCUGCCACUCGCCCUAAGGUUAUUACUGGUUAAUUAAAGCAUGACAACUCACCCAAAAGCUAUUGGAAGAAGUGGUAAAAUGUCUGAGUUAUCACUGGAGGAAAGGAGAUAACCAAGCAUCAGGCCUUUCCUAAAUUUACGGCUGCAUUCAUUUAUGGCCAACAUCAUGCAAAGGAUUGUAAAAUGGACAAUAAAUUGUAAUGUGUAGGUGGACAUCUUUUUUAUCCUCUUUCAAAUUAACGUCAAACUGGUUGGUAAUCAAGUUCAAACUGGUACAGGCAAAGUUGGUAUUCACAAAAGAUGGAUAAAAUUGUAUUUUGAUUCUGGAUUUCAGGACUUCUCUUCACUGGAUUUGGCAACACUUUUUAAGGGAUGGAUAAGGUGAACAGAUUGCUUAAGGAACAAGGUGUGACAACAACAACAACAAGAUAGGAUUAAGGAACAGUAUUCAGUACAAAUGCUGAUGAUAAAGUAGAGUUGACAGUAAAGACCUUCAUCUUUUUAUCAUGAAAAGCAAAAAUUUCAUAAUGAUCAGUGUAGGGCAAAGGAUAAGGUGAACAUUUGAAAGACCGUAACGUGUAAUGAAAGUCCCACUUCCGUAAAGACCUUGCAUGCCCUUUGUUUAUUUUUGAUGCUCUGGUCCCUCCUUAAUCACCGCGAAUUGGUGAAAAGCAAAGGUGAAUGCGGAAAGAGAAUGGCAUUUACCAGAGUUAAUCGAUGCUAAAUGGGUUUAAUCGAGAAGACAAUAACAGCUGCAAACCACAAUAUCUAUAAUGAGAGUGCUAACACAGUCAACCGACCAUUUUGUGUUUCGUUCUUGUUAAUAGCCAAAUGAAAAUGUUAAUGUUGUGGCUGGCCGCAAAUUGGGAAUGCCAUUAUCAUUUAUCACAUAAACCAAUUUGUUUCCAAACACGUAAUCAAAAGUUAAAGAAAAUAAUUAAUUUGGAUUAAGCUAGAUCAAUACCUUUUUACCUUCUAGUUCAUGCAAUCACUCAUUGGAAUUGCUUGGUGCCUGUUCAAUGUUUCUUCAUACAUUACAAAUUGAAAUUAUAUUAUAUGAUUAGCAUAUAUAGCAAAAUUAAUCUGUAUUUAAUUACAAAUUCUCAAUUCUUUCAAAUGGAGUACAAACGGUUGAAUCGAGUAGAUGCAAUAAAUAGGAAUGGUAAGGAAGACAAAAUUGAAGGUGAUGUGUUUCUAAGGUAAGGUUGGUUAUUAGGCAUAAAUUUCAUUUUAAUGAUUGUUUUUGUCUCUUUUUUUCGUGUUCAAUUGUAUGGGAUAUUGGUUACACAUGUUGUUUGUUUCAAGCUAUUUGGAGCAAAUGAAAAGCCAGGAAAGAAAAAGCUAAUUAUGAGGAACAGCAACAAGCAACAAGAAGAAAUAUGAGCGAAGGACAUGCGAAAUUAAAAUACAUUGAAGGUUGAGGAUGAGGUAGACAAGGUAAACGCGGAUGAUAAUGAAUAUGAUGGUUCUUAUGGAUGGUGAAAUUUAAAGCUAUUACUAAGGCAUAUUCCCACAUGCAUAGUAGAUAUAUUUAAAUUACUUUAAGGAUAUAUCUACAUUUUUACUCAGCAAAUAAACAAAUCAAAGCAUCACAAAGCAACACAAGUUAUUAUAUUAUCAUCUUAAUUUGCCCGGUUAUCAGGCUUGGCUUUUUUGGCAUGGAAACAAGAGUAAACUCGGAAAGAAGGAAGAGACUCUGAGAUAGAUUAAUGGUGAUGAGGAUAAAGAUGAAGAUGGUGACGAUGAUCUGGUUGUUUCAAUGGAAUCAUGAUGAAAGGAAAGGAAAGGAAAAUGCCGAGGGAAUCCGUUGUUAUUCGUAGACCUUGGAGCAAGACGUGACAGAAAGGAGCAAAUCUUAAAUGAAUCUGCGGGGAAGUGGAAGCAUAACAACAGCAGCUGCAUCAGAAUAUAACAAGAACAAGAGCAAGAAGAUGAUGGUGACGAGGACGAUGACGAUAAUGAUGACGAGUUAUGAUGAUGAAGGAGAAAGAAAAAGAUAAGGAAGAAGAAGAUGAAAAGUGUAUAAAAAAGAUGUAAUCAUACUCAAUUGACACAGAUCCAAAGGCAGACUUUUCAUCUCUCCGUCAGUCAACCUUGCAAUUAAUAGGGAACCCCUUGUUGACAAUUUACUUACUCUGGCAACGAACUUCAAAGAGCAGAACGGAGAAAGUAACAAAAACAAGAAUUGAUAAACAGAUUAAAGAGAUUAGGUUACACAGUAAAUGAUGGCUUUGCCUCAUCAUCCACAUAAUAUCUGUACAUUAAUGUUCAUCUUGAUCGCUAUCUUCAUCAUCACCAUUAACAACAACAACAGCAACAACAAGAAAAAUAGAUACAGUUGGUUAAAGAAGCUCUCAUUUAAUUUUUCAUUACAUUUAGACUCAAUUUGCCUUGCAAGUUAGCAACAAACAUCCCUUACUGUAACCUUUAAACAGGAUCAAUGCAUUGUGUGAUUUUCAGCUCUCAGCUCCACUAGAGUCAAAGUUGAAAAGGCAAUUUUUGCCAAGUACAUCACAAUGAAGUCACAAUUUCAAUAAAGCAGCAAUGCAUUUGUAUAAGGUUCACUUAUGUCUCUAACUGGUUCUUGAUCAAUUUUACUUGAACAGUAAAAUCAGAGAGCAAUUAAAAUGAAAAUUAUUUAAAAAGAUGAAAAUGGUUUAAUUAAAAAGGGUGAUGAAAAUAAAGUCACAGUCGCAAUAACUUACACAAAUUACAAACAGAUAAAAUCAACAAGUCUCAGAGAUGUUGUGUAAAUAAUCGAAAUUAAUUGAAACAGUUGCUUAAGGAAAUCAUCCAAUCGCCCUUGAAUCUACAAAAUUGAUAAAAAAAUUCUUACAAUUCAUCAUUAAAUCAAAAACGAUAUUUUCAUUCAAGUCUAUGGUUGACACGAUAGCCACUAGAUGGCGUUUAAUGUAAACAAAGGACAUCGAUACAUCAUAACCAAGGAAAACAAAUCGAUAAAAAAUUAGGAUAAAUCAUGAUUUUUGGGAAAUGACAAUACAGAUCAAGAGUAACGAUCAAUUUUGAUCAAUAAAAAUUUUCGAUUCCAUUCUCUUUCACUUGCUGGUUAAUUUGUAAUUUAAUGGAUUUGGUCAAUUUUCAUGAUUGUAUUCAUUGAAAUUUCCCGAUUUUCCCAAUUUCCCUUUGAUUUUUACCAACAAUAAAAUCGAUUUCCCUUUAAAAA